rnacentral:rRNA from 1 species
UUCAUUACCAUAUCACCCUGCAGCCCAAGACUCACUCACUGAAGCUAAGCAGGUUGUGAGCCUGGUCAGUACCUGGAUGGGAGACCACAUGGGAAAACUAGGUUGCUGUUGGAA